rnacentral:rRNA from 1 species
AUUGAACACUGGCGGCAUGCCUUACACAUGCAAGUCGAGCGGUAACAGGUCUUCGGAUGCUGACGAGUGGCGAACGGGUGAGUAAUACAUCGGAACGUGCCUAGUAGUGGGGGAUAACUACUCGAAAGAGUGGCUAAUACCGCAUGAGAUCUACGGAUGAAAGCAGGGGAUCGCAAGACCUUGUGCUACUAGAGCGGCCGAUGGCAGAUUAGGUAGUUGGUGGGAUAAUAGCUUACCAAGCCGACGAUCUGUAGCUGGUCUGAGAGGACGAUCAGCCACACUGGGACUGAGACACGGCCCAGACUCCUACGGGAGGCAGCAGUGGGGAAUUUUGGACAAUGGGCGAAAGCCUGAUCCAGCAAUGCCGCGUGCAGGAUGAAGGCCUUCGGGUUGUAAACUGCUUUUGUACGGAACGAAAAGCCCCGGGUUAAUACCCUGGGGUCAUGACGGUACCGUAAGAAUAAGCACCGGCUAACUACGUGCCAGCAGCCGCAGUAA